rnacentral:rRNA from 1 species
AUGGUGAACUAUGCCCGGGCUGGACGAAGCCAGAGGAAACUCUGGUGGAGGUCCUUAGCGAUUCUGACGUGCAAAUCGAUCGCGUGACCCAGGUAUAGGGGCGAAAGACUAAUCGAACCAUCUAGUAGCUGGUUCCCUCCGAAGUUUCCCUCAGGAUAGCGGGCGCCCGAAUGAAAGAGUCUCAUCCGGUAAAGCGAAUGAUUAGAGGAUUUGGGGACGAAACGUCCUCAACCUAUUCUCAAACUUUAAAUGGGUGAUGAAUCGGUGACCAUGCGUGAUACGAUGGCCCGAAAGAGAUCAACGGGAGCCCAGUGGGCCCGUUUUGGUAAGCAGAACUGGCGCUGUGGGAUGAACCAAAAGCCGGGUUAGGAUGCCCAUGUGGGGGACGCUCAUAAGAAACCAUUAAAGGUGU